rnacentral:rRNA from 1 species
UACGUAGGGGGCAAGCGUUGUCCGGAAUCAUUGGGCGUAAAGAGCGUGUAGGCGGCUUGGUAAGUCCGUUCUGAAAGCCCGGGGCUCAACCCCGGGAGGCGGAUGGAUACUGCUUGGCUCGAGUCCGGAAGAGGCGAGUGGAAUUCCCGGUGUAGCGGUGAAAUGCGCAGAUAUCGGGAGGAACACCAAUGGCGAAGGCAGCUCGCUGGGACGGUACUGACGCUGAGACGCGAAAGCGUGGGGAGCAAACAGG